rnacentral:rRNA from 1 species
UACAGAGGGUGCGAGCGUUAAUCGGAAUUACUGGGCGUAAAGGGCGCGUAGGCGGAUGAAUGGGUGUGAUGUGAAAGCCCUGGGCUUAACCUGGGAAGUGCAUCGCAAACUGUUUAUCUGGAGUAGAUGAGAGGGUGGCGGAAUUUCCGGUGUAGCGGUGAAAUGCGUAGAGAUCGGAAGGAACGUCGAUGGCGAAGGCAGCCACCUGGCAUCAUACUGACGCUGAUGCGCGAAAGCGUGGGGAGCGAACAGG